rnacentral:rRNA from 1 species
CCUACGGGUGGCAGCAGUGGGGAAUAUUGGUCAAUGGGCGCAAGCCUGACCCAGCAACGCCGCGUGAAGGAAGAAGGCUUUCGGGUUUUAAACUUCUUUUCUCAGGGACGAAGAACGUGACGGUACCUUCGGAAUAAGCCAAGGCUAACUACAUGCCAGCAGCCGCGGUAAUACGUAGGUGGCAAGCGUUAUCCGGAUUUAUUGGGUGUAAAGGGCGUGUAGGCGGGAGCGUAAGUCAGAUGUGAAAACUCAGGGCUCAACCCUGAGCCUGCAUUUGAUACUGUGUGUCUUGAGUGCAGGAGAGGUAAGCGGAAUUCGGGGUGUAGCGGUGAAAUGCGUAGAUAUACGGAGGAACACCAGUGGCGAAGGCGGAUUGCUGGACAGUAACUGACGUUGAGGCGCGAAAGCGUGGGGAGCAAACAGGAUUAGAUACCCCAGUAGUC